UACGAAGGGGGCUAGCGUUGCUCGGAAUCACUGGGCGUAAAGCGCACGUAGGUGGAUCGCUAAGUCAGGGGUGAAAUCCUGGAGCUCAACUCCAGAACUGCCUUUGAUACUGGCAAUCUCGAGUCCGGGAGAGGUGAGUGGAACUGCGAGUGUAGAGGUGAAAUUCGUAGAUAUUCGCAAGAACACCAGUGGCGAAGGCGGCUCACUGGCCCGGUACUGACGCUGACGGUGCGAAAAGCGUGGGGAGCAA
rnacentral:rRNA from 1 species